GGGGCUGUAGCUCAGUGGUAGAACACUUGCUUUGCAUGCAUGAGACCCUGGGUUCGAUCCCCAGCACCA
rnacentral:tRNA from 1 species